rnacentral:lncRNA from 1 species
UGCUCAUGCUGUCCCUGCCCCCUGAAAAGCAAUUCUCACUCCAAAAGAACGCAUUUCUUGGAUGAUUUUUUUUCAAGGACUCAGGUCAGGAAGAAUCUACCCCAAGGGUAGUUGGAG